UCGAUUCCAUGAUGAUGCCUGGACUCAAGCGGAGGAGGCCGUACCGCCGUACCCCCCCCCUCAUUCGAUUCCAUGAUGAUGACUAGUCCACGGCGGACUCAAGCGGCGGCGGCGACGGCGGCAGCGGCAGCGGACGGGACGGAGUAAUCGGGCGGACGGGACGGAGUAAUCGGGCAAGGCCGGAGCAUAUGAAGACUCGGAGACCCAGGAGAGAAAAAAGCACGCAAGAGCCUAGGUGGAGAAGGCAAGGGAGGUCCCGGGGCGCUUACCAUGGUCUCGCCGGUGGGUCGGGUGAGGUCCGCGGAGCGAGGCGGCGGCGGCGGAGAUCUUCUUCCCGGGCCGGGCCGGCCCCCCCCCCCGCGGGGGGGGGGGGGGGGGGGUGGGGGUGUGGCGCGACGCCACCUGCCGCUUCCUCCGGAUCUCGGGGGUGCCCGAAUCCGCUCCUGCGCCAUGCCAGCGCCGUGCUACCCGGCCUCUGUCGCGGGAUUGUUUUUUUUUUCUUUUGUUCCUAUAGGAGAUGGAUGGGUCGCGGGGAACGGGGUCGCCGGCGCCGUUGCCGGAUCCAUGGGUUUUCGCCGCCGUGGGUGCUGCGCCUUUCUCAGUUCCUCUGUAGCUUGCUAUCCAGAUUUAGGGCGAUCACCUGGUUUCACUGCUUGCCUGGCAGAAAACACAAGGGGACUUUCUCUUGUGCAAAUUAUGUGCUGUAGAUAACGACGCAGUAGUGCUGAUACUGUCAAUGUUAGGUGCUUUUGCUGAACUGAAUCAGAGAGCAUUGUUCCUUUCGUGGAGGUGGACAACACUUGUUGACCCAUUUCUUUGACUGAACUGCAAAUGGCCUAAAGUUUACAAUACAAAACUGAAACCUUUGUGUGUUCCUCCCAUCUAAUACUAAUUGAAAUGGUAGGGAUGCUAACUAUUUUGUGUUUGGUAUUCUACUAGGGCGAUGUUGUUAUUUCUUUUGGCAACUGCAUUGAGCCUGAAAAUCUAAUGAAGCUUCUGCUAAGACUUUCCAUAUGUAGAGUAGCUAUGAGGUUGACUAGGAGUUUUCAUAUAUGCUGAAUGUGAAUGGUUCCUUUUGUCUCAACAGACUACUUCAAGGCGCCUUGCUGACAGGAAGACGGCGAAGUUCCAGAAGAACAUCACCAAGAGGGGUUCAGUGCCUGAAACCACUAUCAAGAAGGGGAAUGACUACCCUCUCGGACCUGUAGUGCUUGGCUUCUUCAUUUUUGUCGUCAAUGGAUCACGUUGUUUCAGAUAAUCAGGACGGCAACCGACGGUGGGAUGGCAUGAGAACCGACCGAUCCAAUCCCAGAGUCUAGAGAUCUGUUUAUUAUACAUGCAUCCAAUCCAGAAUUGGGUAGCAGCUAAAAUGUCUUGUCCUGUAUUGUGUUUUGUCUCGUGAGUGUUGAGUCUGAAAUUAGCGUCUGAAGAAGUGUAAAGCAAAAUCAUGUACCUCAAAGGUGUUAAGUGGAUAAUCGGAUAGUAUAAUGUUUCAUUCACUCUGUCCACGAUUGGAACUUUUCCCACGCGA